AUGGAGACCUGUAUGAAUGGCAUUACGAGGGCUUAACUGUCUCCUUUUUCUAGUCAGUGAAAUUGAUCUCCCCGUGCAGAAGCGGGGAUGUAACCAUAAGACGAGAAGACCCUAUGGAGCUUUAGACACCAAGGCAUAUCAUGUCAAACACCCCUAAACAAAGGACUAAACCAAAUGAAUCAUGCCCCCAUGUC
rnacentral:rRNA from 1 species